AGCUCCAAUAGCGUAUAUUAAAAUUGUUGCAGUUAAAAAGCUCGUAGUUGGAUCUCAGGUUGGGUGUGGCUAUGUUACCUAUGGUUAUCAUGACUUUACAUCUGCCUGUUUUAGCCGUUUGUCUAUUAUGGUUCUCUUUAUUGAGUGCUAUAAUUGCUCGGCACGUUUACCUUGAAAAAAUCAGAGUGCUCAAAGCAGGCCUUUGUGCUUGAAUGUUGUUGCAUGGAAUAAUGGAAUAGGAUUUCAAUUCUAUUUUGCUGGUAUUUGAGAAUUGAAAUAAUGAGCAAAAAAGACGGACGAGGGCAUUUCUAUGUCUGUGCUAGAGGUGAAAUUCUGAGACCGCAGACAGAGAACCGACGGCGAAAGCAUUUGCCAAGCACGUCUUUA
rnacentral:rRNA from 1 species